GAGGUGGACAUCAGAGAGAUGGAGGCAGGCGGCAGGGAACUGUUGUAUCUAAUGAAGUCCGGUCCAUCGUCGUUGAUCAUGUGGUCAACAGAGGUCUGACCAUGACAGAGGACGACACAUUAGUUCACCCCAAUCUGAAAAGAUCAACUGGCAAAUUCCAUCAUGAGAACAUUUCACUAAGAAAAGCGAAUAGACAGAAGACCCCAUGGUGGUGGUCGCGUGCUGACUGACCAGCAGGAGAGGACAGUGGAGGAAAUGGUGAGGGACAGGAAUGAUACACUGACCAGCAGGAGAGGACAGUGGAGGAAAUGGUGAGGGACAGGAAUGAUACACUGACCAGCAGGAGAGGACAGUGGAGGAAAUGGUGAGGGACAGGAAUGAUACACUGACCAGCAGGAGAGGACAGUGGAGGAAAUGGUGAGGGACAGGAAUGAUAUAUAUACUGUAUACUAUUCAGGUACAUCACUAUAUACUGUAUACUAUUCAGGUACAUCACUACAUACUAUAUAAUAUUCAGGUACAACAUGGAGUUAGAACAGCCAGAUAGACCAGCUAACAGCAGAGAUACUGUAGACCAGUGAUCCAUGAACCUCAUUAUCACUAAGAGAAUAAAGUCCUGGUAAACCACA